rnacentral:rRNA from 1 species
CACGUAGGGCGCAAGCGUUGUCCGGAAUUAUUUGGGCGUAAAGAGCUCGUAGGCGGUCUGUUGCGUCCGCUGUGAAAACUCGGGGCUUAACCCCGAGCCUGCAGUGGAUACGGGCAGACUAGAGGUAGGUAGGGGAGAAUGGAAUUCCCGGUGUAGCGGUGAAAUGCGCAGAUAUCGGGAGGAACACCGGUGGCGAAGGCGGUUCUCUGGGCCUUACCUGACGCUGAGGAGCGAAAGCGUGGGGAGCGAACAGG